AUGGCCUCUAUCCGUUUCUUUUUCUUAGUUAUUUUAAUCGCUUUGUCACUUUCAAGCAUUGACAAGGUGCAAAGUGUUGGGAAUAGAAAACUUUUGACACUAUCAUUUCUUAAUGCAGGUAAAAUUCCAGGCUUAAAGUUUUCUACUUUCCCACCUGGAACUGAAUGGCCAGAGUACAGGUUGCCUCCACCGCUAUUCACUUUUCCACCAGUUACCACCGCAGCUACUACCAAACCAUGA